CAAGUCGAACGGGAAUCUUCGGAUUCUAGUGGCGGACGGGUGAGUAACGCGUAAGAAUCUAACUUCAGGACGGGGACAACAGUUGGAAACGACUGCUAAUACCCGAUGUGCCGAAAGGUGAAACCUAAUUGGCCUGAAGAAGAGCUUGCGUCUGAUUAGCUAGUUGGUGGGGUAAGAGCCUACCAAGGCGACGAUCAGUAGCUGGUCUGAGAGGAUGAGCAGCCACACUGGGACUGAGACACGGCCCAGACUCCUACGGGAGGCAGCAGUGGGGAAUUUUCCGCAAUGGGCGAAAGCCUGACGGAGCAACGCCGCGUGAGGGAGGAAGGUCUUUGGAUUGUAAACCUCUUUUCUCAAGGAAGAAGUUCUGACGGUACUUGAGGAAUCAGCCUCGGCUAACUCCGUGCCAGCAGCCGCGGUAAUACGGGGGAGGCAAGCGUUAUCCGGAAUUAUUGGGCGUAAAGCGUCCGCAGGUGGUCAGCCAAGUCUGCCGUCAAAUCAGGUUGCUUAACGACCUAAAGGCGGUGGAAACUGGCAGACUAGAGAGCAGUAGGGGUAGCAGGAAUUCCCAGUGUAGCGGUGAAAUGCGUAGAGAUUGGGAAGAACAUCGGUGGCGAAAGCGUGCUACUGGGCUGUAUCUGACACUCAGGGACGAAAGCUAGGGGAGCGAAAGGGAUUAGAUACCCCUGUAGUCCUAGCCGUAAACGAUGGAUACUAGGCGUGGCUUGUAUCGACCCGAGCCGUGCCGAAGCUAACGCGUUAAGUAUCCCGCCUGGGGAGUACGCACGCAAGUGUGAAACUCAAAGGAAUUGACGG
rnacentral:rRNA from 1 species